rnacentral:rRNA from 1 species
CAACUUUCAACAACGGAUCUCUUGGCUCUCGCAUCGAUGAAGAACGCAGCGAAAUGCGAUAAGUAAUGUGAAUUGCAGAUUUUCAGUGAAUCAUCGAAUCUUUGAACGCACCUUGCGCUCCUUGGUAUUCCGAGGAGCAUGCCUGUUUG